CGCCUCUUGCCAACACAUUUAGAAUAAGAGGUCCAACCUGCCCAGUGACAUUGUUUAACGGCCGCGGUAUUUUGACCGUGCUAAGGUAGCGCAAUCACUUGUCUCUUAAAUGGGGACCUGUAUGAAAGGUAUAACGAGGGCUUAGCUGUCUCCUUUUUCCAGUCAAUGAAAUUGAUCUCCCCGUGCAGAAGCGGGGAUUUUAACAUAAGACGAGAAGACCCUGUGGAGCUUAAGACACCAGAGCAGCCCACGUCAAAGACCUCCACCCCCGGCCAGAACUGAAUGGGGCCUGCUCCUAUGUCUUCGGUUGGGGUGACCAUGGGGAAAGCAAAACCCCCAUGUGGACAGGGAGCACUAGAGGAAACUUCACCACACACCCCACAACUUCACUCCUCCAAACCAGAGCCCCGGCUCUAGUUAACGAAAUGUUCGACUUAGAAUGAUCCGGGAAAACCGAUCAACGAACCAAGUUACCCCAGGGAUAACAGCGCUAUCCCCUUCCAGAGCCCAUAUCGCCAAGGGGGUUUACGACCUCGAUGUUGGAUCAGGACAUCCUAAUGGUGCAGCCGCUAU
rnacentral:rRNA from 1 species